rnacentral:rRNA from 1 species
UACGUAGGGUGCAAGCGUUGUCCGGAAUUAUUGGGCGUAAAGAGCUCGUAGGCGGUUUGUCGCGUCUGCUGUGAAAUCCCGAGGCUCAACCUCGGGCCUGCAGUGGGUACGGGCAGACUAGAGUGCGGUAGGGGAGAUUGGAAUUCCUGGUGUAGCGGUGAAAUGCGCGGAUAUCAGGAGGAACACCAACAGCGAAAGGCAGAUCUCUGGGACGUUACUGACGCUGAGACGCGAAAGCGUGGGGGAGCAAACAGG